AUUGAACGCUGGCGGCAUGCCUUACACAUGCAAGUCGAACGGUAACGCGGGGCAACCUGGCGACGAGUGGCGAACGGGUGAGUAAAGCAUCGGAACGUGCCCAGUAGUGGGGGAUAGCCCGGCGAAAGCCGGAUUAAUACCGCAUACGACCUAAGGGUGAAUGGGGGGGGAUCGCAAGACCUCUCGCUAUUGGAGCGGCCGAUGUCAGAUUAGGUAGUUGGUGGGGUAAAGGCCUACCAAGCCGACGAUCUGUAGCUGGUCUGAGAGGACGACCAGCCACACUGGGACUGAGACACGGCCCAGACUCCUACGGGAGGCAGCAGUGGGGAAUUUUGGACAACGGGCGCAAGCCUGAUUCAGCCAUGCCGCGUGCGGGAAGAAGGCCUUCGGGUUGUAAACCGCUUUUGUCAGGGAAGAAAUCCUUUGGGUUAAUACCUCGGGGGGAUGACGGUACCUGAAGAAUAAGCACCGGCUAACUUCGUGCCAGCCGCCGCCGUAAUAC
rnacentral:rRNA from 1 species